rnacentral:rRNA from 1 species
AGAGUUUGAUCAUGGCUCAGAUUGAACGCUGGCGGCAUGCUUUACACAUGCAAGUCGAACGAGGUAGCAAUACCUAGUGGCGGACGGGUGAGUAACGCGUAGGAAUCUGCCUUCAAAUGGGGGAUAGCAAGCCGAAAGGCUUAUUAAUACCGCAUACGUAUAUAGCUCGACAGGGUUAUAUAUAAAAGGAGCAAUCCGUUUGAAGAUGAGCCUGCGUCCGAUUAGCUAGUUGGUAGGGUAACGGCCCACCAAGCCUGCGAUCAGUAACUGGUGUGAGAGCACGACCAGUCACACGGGCACUGAGACACGGGCCCGACUCCUACGGGAGGCAGCAGUAAGGAAUAUUGGGCAAUGGAGGCAACUCUGACCCAGCCAUGCCGCGUGGAGGAUGAAGGUCCUCUGGAUUGUAAACUUCUUUUAUAUGGGACGAAAAAGGGCCUUUCCAGGUCAACUGACGGUACCAUAUGAAUAAGCACCGGCUAACUCCGUGCCAGCAGCCGCGGUAAUACGGAGGGUGCAAGCGUUAUCCGGAUUCACUGGGUUUAAAGGGUGCGUAGGUGGGUUGGUAAGUCAGUGGUGAAAUCCCCGAGCUUAACUUGGGAACUGCCAUUGAUACUAUCAGUCUUGAAUACUGUGGAGGUCAGCGGAAUAUGUCAUGUAGCGGUGAAAUGCUUAGAUAUGACAUAGAACACCAAUUGCGAAGGCAGCUGGCUACACAAAUAUUGACACUGAGGCACGAAAGCGUGGGGAUCAAACAGGAUUAGAUACCCUGGUAGUCC